ensembl:lncRNA
ACCCCUGUAACUGAUACUGUUCCUACCACUGUAACUGAUACUGUUCCUGUUACCGAUACUGCUCCUGUUCCUGUUACUGAUAGUGUUCCUGUUACAGAUACUACUCCAACCCAUGUUGAUGAUAAUAUUUUUGGUUCUAAUAAAGACGAACAAACAAAUGUCCAUAGCACUAAUACGCAGAGUGAAAUUGAAGAAAAAAACAAAGUAGACCAAAAAAUGGAUGGAACUAUUUAUAAAAAACAUGAUGAUGGAAAGUAUAAUCAUGGAGAAAAUUAUUUUGAUAAUAUUAAAGAAAACACAUAUGAUAAAUUAAAUUAUGAACAAAGCGAAAAUGACAUAAAAAAAAAUAACAAUAGUGAUGACGAUGAUAUAAAAAAAACCAAGAAGACAAUACAGAACAGGAAAAACAAAAUAAUCAAACACAAGAGCUGGAUCAAGUAAACAAAGAAGCAGAAGAAGAAGAAGAAGAAGAAAAAAAAAAAUUAAUAAAAAUAUAACAACAGAAAACACAGAAGAAGAUGAACCUUCAAUAAAUAACAAUACUUCGCCAAAUGUUAAAAUACAUGUACCGUUAAAAGAGUCUAUUAUUAAUGAAAUUAUUACUAAUACACAAAAAGGAAUAGAAGGAUUAAUAGAUUUAAAAGAUAGUAAAAAUUCAGGUAAAAUUUUUACUAAAGCAAUAGUAAAAUUAAAAUUAGAUCGAAAAAUAUUUGAUAAAAAAAUGACAUGUAUAAAAAUAUAUCAUUAGAAACGUAUGAUAAAAUAUUAAUUACUAUUUUUAAAAUAUUAACUGAAUCAAGUUAUUAUGAAAAUGAAUCAUUUUAUAACUCAGUUGGUGUUAACAAAGAAAUUAUAAACAAAUCAUUAAAGGAUAUAAAAAUAGCCAUGUUAAAAACUAUAGGUGUUACUUAUAGUAAAUUACCUCCUAUAAUAAAACAAAAUACUAAGUACUGUCCAAUCAAUAAUAUGAUUAUUAGUAUCACUUCAAAAGAAUUAUCUCAACGAUUAUCUACUUUGUUUAUUAAGUUGUUGUCGUUAGAUGAAUAUGGAUCAAUUAAAGAUCCAGAAAAUAAUACUGAAAUAAACAGUAUGUGUAUUGGUUCAGCUUUACUACUACAACAAUGGAAAUAUUUCCAAUUAUUUUUAGGAUUUGAAACAGAAAUAGAACAUCCUUUCUUAAUGUUAAUUGAUGAAUUAGUAAACAUAGAUAAAAAAUAUAAUAAAAAAACGAAAAUAUAUAAAACUUUAAAAAAAAUAAAAAAAUCAAAAGCUUUUAAACAUUGUACUAAAAUGAUUAGAGUAGCAGGUAAUUUAGGUACUGUACCAUUUACUCAUGAAAAUGUUAAAAAACCUAAUUCUUCAUUAAUAGGAUCUUUAGGUAAUUUAAUAAAAGCAAAUCUAGCUGUUCAUAGUAUAUCCACUGCUCAAAGAAUUAAUUCUUAUUUUAAUUAUAUUCAUAAAAAUAAUAAAAAAAAUAGCACAAAAAAAGUUUUAUCUAUAUGUGUUCUUUUACAUAUGACUAAUUUAUUAUAUCAAUGUUCAAACGAAAGUGAUUUAAAAAUAAGAGAUUUGAAUAUGCUUAAAUUUAAUCUAUUGAAUAUUGAGGGAAAAAAAAUCUUAAAAUCGUUAAAUACAUUAAGUUAUAUUCGGACAGCUAAUAAUAACGUUAUCGGUGAAAUAUGUGAUCCUGAUAGUAAAGUAGUUGUCGAGAUGUUAUCUAAAUUAUUAGUCGUAUUAUCACCUGAAUCCCACACGAUGUUGUCAGCUGAAUUAAAUGCUAACGGGUUGGAUAACGAGUACGUGGAAGGUGAAAUAAAAAACAUAAAUGAUUCCGAAAAUAUGAUUAUUGGAGAGGGUGAACAAGAACUGAAUAAUCUGAUAUUCGGCGAUCUUUAA